AAGACUUCAAUUUCCUCUACAAGGAGUGCUAGGAAUAGCUUUGUAAUGUAAAUAGGCACUUACGUAUUUUGAACAAGCACCUGCUUCAUCACACUUCCUAAUGAGAGCCUGGACAGAAACGCAGCAAAAGCAAAGGAAGGUGAGCUGAGAAUGAUGUUUUUCCCCAUUAAAAUGCCUCAUUUGGUUCACCCAGGACUGCGAUCCUUUAGCAUUCAAGACAGCCAUCACUGCAGGCAGCAGUACCUAUUUGCAGCAUUAACACCGGGUGUCACUCUCUGAAUGGUGAAACUACUCUUCUGCAUCUAACCUACUACCAAGCCUCCCCGAGCCACUCGUGCUGAGGCUGGCUCUCCCUGGUGAUGCCGGGAUGCUGGAAUUACGAGGUGCCAUGGCUGGCAUGGUGGCUUCACGCUGACAGGCAGCUCAGCACCUCCAUGCUGCUCUCUCACUGCAUUUCCUCAACAAAGCAGGCAGAAAAUACAAUGAAAAAACCUCAUGGGUUGUGAUAAGGACAGGGAGAUCGCUCACCAAUUACUGUCACGGGUGAAGCAGACUCAGCGCAGGGGAUUAAUGUAAUUUGUCGCCUAUUGCUAACAGACUCGAGCAGUGAGAACCGAAAGCAAACUAAAAACACCUUCCUCCCAUUCAGCAUCUCCUACCUCUCCCCCUGAGCAGUGCAGGGGGUGGGGGCUGUGGUCAGACCCCGCUGCUCC